UGCACCGGAUCCCAUUAGAACUCCGCAACAA
rnacentral:sRNA from 1 species